rnacentral:tRNA from 1 species
AGGGCGUUGGUGUAGUUGGAGAACAUGCUCGGUUCUCAACCGGGAGAUCAUCGGUUCAAGUCCGAUACGCCCUG